AACUACGGGAACGCUAGACGCUCAUAUACAUAACUAGACCCGAGCGCAUGAAUUUAUCUCACCACUUUUCUGCAACAAGAGAUUGGCGGGCUUUGUGCACAGUGUAAUGAUUGGUCCCGAUUCUCUGCUCACGUUUACAUUUUUAGAGACAACGAAUGAGCCCUAAACAUGAAGGCGCAAAAAAUUGAAAUCGCAGAUGUGAUCAAAUACCAC